rnacentral:rRNA from 1 species
AGAGUUUGAUCAUGGCUCAGAUUGAACGCUGGCGGCAGGCCUAACACAUGCAAGUCGAGCGGUAGAGAGAAGCUUGCUUCUCUUGAGAGCGGCGGACGGGUGAGUAAUGCCUAGGAAUCUGCCUGGUAGUGGGGGAUAACGCUCGGAAACGGACGCUAAUACCGCAUACGUCCUACGGGAGAAAGCAGGGGACCUUCGGGCCUUGCGCUAUCAGAUGAGCCUAGGUCGGAUUAGCUAGUUGGUGAGGUAAUGGCUCACCAAGGCGACGAUCCGUAACUGGUCUGAGAGGAUGAUCAGUCACACUGGAACUGAGACACGGUCCAGACUCCUACGGGAGGCAGCAGUGGGGAAUAUUGGACAAUGGGCGAAAGCCUGAUCCAGCCAUGCCGCGUGUGUGAAGAAGGUCUUCGGAUUGUAAAGCACUUUAAGUUGGGAGGAAGGGCAUUAACCUAAUACGUUAGUGUUUUGACGUUACCGACAGAAUAAGCACCGGCUAACUCUGUGCCAGCAGCCGCGGUAAUACAGAGGGUGCAAGCGUUAAUCGGAAUUACUGGGCGUAAAGCGCGCGUAGGUGGUUCGUUAAGUUGGAUGUGAAAUCCCCGGGCUCAACCUGGGAACUGCAUUCAAAACUGACGAGCUAGAGUAUGGUAGAGGGUGGUGGAAUUUCCUGUGUAGCGGUGAAAUGCGUAGAUAUAGGAAGGAACACCAGUGGCGAAGGCGACCACCUGGACUGAUACUGACACUGAGGUGCGAAAGCGUGGGGAGCAACCAGGAUUAGAUACCCUGGUAGUCCACGCCGUAAACGAUGUCAACUAGCCGUUGGGAGCCUUGAGCUCUUAGUGGCGCAGCUAACGCAUUAAGUUGACCGCCUGGGGAGUACGGCCGCAAGGUUAAAACUCAAAUGAAUUGACGGGGGCCCGCACAAGCGGUGGAGCAUGUGGUUUAAUUCGAAGCAACGCGAAGAACCUUACCAGGCCUUGACAUCCAAUGAACUUUCCAGAGAUGGAUUGGUGCCUUCGGGAACAUUGAGACAGGUGCUGCAUGGCUGUCGUCAGCUCGUGUCGUGAGAUGUUGGGUUAAGUCCCGUAACGAGCGCAUCCCUUGUCCUUAGUUACCAGCACGUAAUGGUGGGCACUCUAAGGAGACUGCCGGUGACAAACCGGAGGAAGGUGGGGAUGACGUCAAGUCAUCAUGGCCCUUACGGCCUGGGCUACACACGUGCUACAAUGGUCGGUACAGAGGGUUGCCAAGCCGCGAGGUGGAGCUAAUCCCACAAAACCGAUCGUAGUCCGGAUCGCAGUCUGCAACUCGACUGCGUGAAGUCGGAAUCGCUAGUAAUCGCGAAUCAGAAUGUCGCGGUGAAUACGUUCCCGGGCCUUGUACACACCGCCCGUCACACCAUGGGAGUGGGUUGCACCAGAAGUAGCUAGUCUAACCUUCGGGAGGACGGUUACCACGGUGUGAUUCAUGACUGGGGUGAAGUCGUAACAAGGUAGCCGUAGGGGAACCUGCGGCUG